UACAAUUUAAGUGGCAUGACAUACUUAAUAUAUAUAAGAAAUAUUUAUACAGUAGUUUAAUUCACACAAGUUCCCAAAAUGCCCCAAUGCUUUAGAUAACUCCUCUGGCCCACCUGAUAAUAUUGACUGAUGCAAAAAGAGCAAUGCACAACUAAGGCUAUCUACAACUGCACUAACCUGAAAAAAAAAAUUGCUAAGGAAUGAGCUAGCGACUCAAUAAGCAUUUAAUUUACUAAACUAUAGUAUAUUAGGCUAGAAUUAUCAAAUCUUUAUCAAUACAGAAAAUUAUACCAACACUUAACUAACAAUCACAAAAUCAACCAUUUCAGUUAUUCUCAUAAACAUAUAAUUUCAUCUCACGUAAUGCAAAUAAUCUCAAACUCAACCAAGUCAAAUAAUUCAAUUCUACAUUAUUUCUAUCAAAUUAGGAUCAGAUGACUCAUCCUUACAUUUCCUCACAUUUUUAAAUUUCAGUAACCACUUGACAAGACUAUCCGCCCGGCUCAGUCUUGCCAUCUCACAUACUCGGGUAGCUAUCCGCCCGGCUCAGCUUUCCCGAUCACACAAUAUCCAUACAAAAGUCAUCAAUCCUUAAUCACAAUCAUUUCACUUCACAACACAUCACAAUCAAUUCACUUUAUAACAAGCCAAAAACAUAACUAAUAUCAACUCAGUCAACCAAGAAAUUAUCAAGUAAUCAAACAGCAGUCCCUACUCAAUAUACACAAAGUUUAGUCUAUUAAAUACUUACCAGAAGUUAUAGGAUAACAAAGUAAUCCUAUUCUUUUUCUCUUACCACUUCCUUGCCUUUGGAUGAACCUAUUCAUAUAUUCAAUACAAAUACAAUUCAAUCACAAGGCAUAAAUAUAUAUAUAUAUAUAUAUAUAUAUUUACUAUCAAUAAAAUAUCACAUUUCAACAAAAUAACAUAUAUUCUAGAUAUUAAUAUGAUGCAUGAGAUGAAUGACAACAAAUCAACAUAUUUGUUGAUGAAGGCAGCUUGUAGGUACUGACUUAGAAAUUACACCAAAACUUAUGUACAAUUAAUAAAAAUCUCAUAUUUUCCAGAAUUACACUUCCAUUUUUAUAGAAACCAUAGCAGAAAGAAUCACCUCAAAAUCAUUGGUAUAGAAAUAGUUAUGGCAUUUUCUAUACAGCUGCUCAAAUUUCCAUCUAAACAGAACAGAAAAAACGUUUCCUAUUAAAUGACCAAUCAAACAAAUGAAUUUUCUGAUGAAACUCUCCAGAUAUAAAGUUAACAUUCUAAAGUUUCUAUAGACACUAAUUUUACUCAAUUUGGACUUUUUUAGCUCAAGUUGUGAAACACACAAUUAGCAACAAAUUUCUGAAUCCUAAGCCCGAUUUCUGCUUAAAAUAGUUUCGGGCAGGCCAUAUUAAGUUCAACAUAUCUCACGUUAUACUCAACCAAAAAUUAUGAAAUUUUUCAGACAUAUACUACAUAUAUAAAUGAACAACUUUCAUGUUUAACUCUCUGCUUGGUUCAGCCUCUAAAUGCCUCAAAAUGUCAGCACAAAAACCAGGUCACCUGCUGAACCAAAAACAGAGCAGCAGCAAAAUCGAACCUCAUAAGUUCCUACUCACUCAACAAUCUGCAAAACCAUUUUACAGAGAUAUUCUUGAGACAUAUACCUACAACUUUCAUGUUUGAAAAUUUUCGAGAUAAAGUCUCUAAGGUCACGAAAUCAUAAGUGAAAAAUCUGCCCAGAAAUUUCAGCUUCAAGAUCACAAGUAAAAGCAUGUUUACUCUUGAUUAAACAAUUCCAAAACACAUAAUCAUCAACAAUUUCAUAUCAUUAACCCUAAUUUACAGCAAAAUCAAGCAAUUAAAAUUACUCACCUUUGUUUUCCUUGAUUAAGAAAGCCCAAAUCUUUCAAGCUUAAAAGAAGAAUUUGAUUUUCACUUACUAAAAGUUUUGUAGAGUUUGAUUUGGAAAAUCAAAGUUGAAGAAGGAAAGGAGAAAAAUGAGAGAGACAAAGAAGAAAAG
rnacentral:lncRNA from 1 species